GCCAGAAUGAAGGUUUACAUGUGCCUGCUUCUCCUGAUGGUCGUUGGAUGUGCCUUGUGUUUUGCAGAGAACUUUCUUGCCGAGAAGUUGAUGCAAGACCUGGAAUCUCGCGGAAUAGUGAAGAAGGCGAAGACUUGCACAACUGAUGCCGAAUGUGAUCCAAUGUAUUGUUCUAAACCUCCCGGUCACGAUCAGGGCUUUUGCUGGUGGGUGGGAAAAGGACGCUAGGAAUUCUGACAAUCAACAUGAAUGAAUUAAACCAUGAUCGUCAGUGGUUAACCGACAGCAAGGCUUUAUUCUGAUUCAAUAAAAAGAUUUGACAUUAAUUCAUUUUUCUUCUUUCCUGGUAAGAUUGUCUCAUUUUUGUUAACAAUACUGGGUCCGUGUUCCAGCCAGUUUUUUUCCAUUGAUUCCGUGACAGUGCUGUUCACGUCUGAAGUCUGCUCAAUGUGAAUUUAAAGAGUGAUACUGAAAUCAAAAUGAAACAAAAAAUAUCUUUAUUCGAUCCGUCAAUACAGACAUAUAUUAACCGAUCGGCACAUUUGAAUUGUUUACAGAACUUAUAAAAGUCUACACUCUUCUCGUCAUUUAAAUGACACAAAUUAUGAGCUCGAGCACGGACUUAAUAAUU